GCCACUGAGCUACAGAUUAAAAGGAAAGAAAAAAAAAUUAGACAUCUUGACCUCUGCAACAAAGCAUACCAGACGCACAGUCAACCCUUUGUGAAGGAGAUAACUAAUUUCUGAGCAGCUGAGAAGCAUCACAUCAAAGAAUUACAGGUUACGACGUCUGGAAGUCACAUCGACGUAGUGGGGAUGUCAGAACUUACCCAGACUUUGUUGUGGGAAAAGGACGACAGAUUUCACAUGAGGAACGAGGUACUGAAAUAUUUGUAGUUAUUUUGAAGACCCAAGAAUUUAUUAGUGUCAUAUCAGUAAUGAGUUCCUUUUUAUAUUAAUUUUAAGUAUUAUAUUAAAUACUAUAUCAAAAUUUUCUUUUUAUAUUAACAUUUUUAUAUUAAAAUGUUUAUAUUAAAAUUGUUCUUCAGUGUUUUCACAAAAUGCAGUCAAAUGCUGGUGACAAACUUAAAGAUUUUACAAUCCAAAAAAAGUUAUAUAAUGACAUUUUUCCCACUGUCCUUAUAGUAUUUCUACAUAAAGAUGAUUUUGGGGAUUUAAGGGCCAGCACUAACUCAUAGCUGGAUUCAGAGACACACACACGUUGUAGUAGCAGAGUUGGGCUCAGCAUUUAGCUGCCUUGGUUCCCAGAGGGAGCAUGGGAAAAUGGCGUGCUGAAGAAUGCAGGAGGCAGAAGUGAGAUGCUGCAUAAUUACUCUGCUUGAACUAGCAUUUACUACAUGCUGGAGAAAAGUGUGCAUAAAGCCCUGCAUAAAGCAUUUACCUCUUGUAAAAUUUUAAAACCCUCAGUUGUCUCAUGGAGUUAGAUCCACUUGGGUGGGCAUAACUAAACUUUGGGCCACACGGAGCACACAUCAGCUCCCACCAGUCAGGAUACUGAGCAGGGAGAAGGAAGAGAUGGAGCGUUAGUGUCUCCACUACUUCCGUGUUACGAUUUUGCACUGGUAUGGAUAUUUAGCUAUCCCAGUACUGUCAUUCAAGAAAGCUCUUUUGCUUAAUACACAGCAGAGUUAAGUAUCAAUGUCUCUGCUAAGAAGCAGAUAGAGAAAUUUUACUGCAGAAAACCUGGGCUUGUAAGUAAAGCUAAGUCUUAGUUCUAAGAGAGAAGAGACCACUACACAGUGCUUAAAGUGUAAAGAUAGCUGUUCAAGUCCAAGGCUGGAAAACAAAGAUAACAUUUUAAUUCUAGCUCAGCCACCACGCUGGCUGCAAGUUUGAAUAAAUGUCAAAAGGUAUUACAGUAACUAGUUAAUAUUUAUGACCUGCUGUUCACCCAAAGCACUCUUAUCUUCUAGUUUUUCGGUUGUAUUACAGGAUCAACCAAUAUUGAAGUGAUGCAUGAUGAGAUUACUGUAAAUCAAACUAACCUCACUCGGUCAGUGCUGUGUGUGAGUGACUCAUUCUCUUUCUUCCAAAAUAUCUGAGGUGAUGGCUCCCCCGAGAUUCGACACUCCAGUCGCACUGGAAAUCCCUCAGUCACGCCUGUGUUUUGUAGUUUCUCUAUAAACACAGGUGCUUUGUGUACUUCCUUAGCUGUGGAAAUAAAAAUCGCAGAAAUGUUGACACUAGUCUUUAAAAAGUGAGCUUUUCUUUCAGCAGCAUGCUAAAAAACAGUAAUGAAAAACGUAAGUGGCAGGAAACUUAAGCCUUGUCUUCAUUAAUCACAAAGUCCAACCCUGAUUCCUCUGAAGACAACAGCCACACCAGUAUUUUAAUAAAGGAGAAGUGAGCUCUAAUAGAGAUGAGUGUUUUCCUCCCCCGCCCCGGCCCCCAGGAGAACUGAAAUGUGGAGCAUGAAGACGAGAUUAAUUGGCUGCACCGUGCUUGUUAAACAGUGCGCCUUCAUACUCCAUAAAAGGAUGAGCCUUUAAUUAUAGAAGGAAGUGCUCUGCCAGAAGGAUGGAAUGGCAUUAAUCUCACAUCCUGUGAAAUACACAAAUCACAUCAUGCUAGCAACCCAGAGGUAGAUACGGCUCUGCACAAACUGCCAAUAAAAAGCACAUUGGGGAUGAAGUCUGGUUUGUGGCCUCAGCUGUCCCUCAGGCUGACAGCUCUCUGUUCGUCACUACAUGCAUGCCCGAAGGUUACGUGCCAGCCAGCCUUGGCCAACACAGAACGUAACCGUGCCGCCCAGACGUGUGCUGCAGUCCCGUUACUGCGCGCUUCCCCCGCCUUAGCCCCCUGCCCCUCAGCCACAUCAUCUGACAGCACUUCGCUUUUCCUCGUGCAGUGCUCAGCAUGAAGGCAUUACCUGCAACGACGAGCUCCAGGCUGAAUGUGUUUUCACCAGCUCGAUUGCUGGCAACGCACGUGUAGAUCCCAGCAUCUCUAGCCGUGACGGGCUCUAUGAUCAAGGAGUGCACGCCGUUCUCACGCACCAGCAUCUUGUGCGAGCUAUCGGGACGAAUGGGCCUUCCAUUAAGUUGCCAGCUUAAAUCGGGAGUUGGUAACCCGCUAACCUUUGGUGCGAACAGAACAGUGGGAAACUGUUAGCCAUGCAGAGCACUGGAGGAGUCCUGACUUGUUACCUCAGAGGAGCUGGGGAUUGUUUGCUAGUGCAGGUGUACCACAAGAUUUACUAAUUCCACCCUGCAUUACACAUUGACUCGGUUGUAUUAAUUUACUUACUUUCUGGCCAACUCCCUGAAUUCCGUGAUGUCUUAUGGGUGUGACUGAAAACAGAUCGGUGUUUAGAUACGCUAGAAUCUAAAUAAUAAUACAUUGCAAAACAAAAGGCAGGGUGACACCUUUUGUCAUUUUUCAUUGUUUGCUCUUCAUGUGGAAUAAAAAGAUACUCCUUUCUGAAUUAAUUUCUUGUGGAAAACUUGCAGACAAAAAGAUGUUAGCUGACUACUUAUUGAACUCUAAAUUCCAUUGCACUGAGGUAUAACCUAGUGACAGUGCUGCCUGCACUAGUUUAUACUUGGACUGUGUGAACGAGUCCGGCACUGCUGAAAGCCGUGCCACUUGCUGGGGGUACUGCUCAAAAACAAACAGCUUCUCCCAGAUGUACCAGCAGAAAGCAAACAGAAGAAGUCCAAGCCUUAAUUAAUUCCGCAAGGCAAAGUCAUAAAUCAAGAUUAGACUGUCUAAAACUAACAGAGGAUCGAAACUGAAGUGGUAAAAGGACUUAAAAUAGAAAAGCACUGUCUUUAUGGUGUUUGCUGCUUCCCCCCACACCCCAACAUAGAUCAACUCUAAAAAUCAGCUUUCUGUUAGCUGUAAGAUUUGCCUGCAGCCAUUUCAUUGGAGCAAGUUUUUAUUGUCAACUUUUGCUGAUAAGCAGCAAGAUUAAUUAUCCCAUUGAUACUGCAAAUAGGUAAAAUAGCAUUAAAAAAAAUCUUAUCUAACUUGUUUUUUUUGACUCAGCCAAGGUUAUGGUAAGGUAGCUGCUGUCCUUUGCUUGACGCUUACCUUGCAGUCCAUUCGGCACAGUUUUCCUUCUUGAACAGUCAUGUCGCCAGGAGCCUGCAGAAAAUGAGGCCGGAAGAAUCGUUCCUGAAUUGGUUCAUUUUCAUCACCACUGUCCCUUGAUCGAGAUCGUGGUCUUAAAAUAACACGAAAUAAAGGUGUAGUGUGUCUUAUUUACUGGACAGGCCACGCCAACCGGACGUAGCUUUUCUGGGCUGUUCUCACAACGCAGCGGAGGCAGGAAAUUCCCUCCUGCCCCAGCAAGUGCUUUGAGCUCAACAGGCCCAGACCUGAGGCACGGGAGGGGGCUUGUGGAACGCCUCCCCAGGAGGUGCUGGGAAGCACUUUCAAGGCUGUGGGAAGCCCCGUUUGGUCAGGGCAGAAGAUUGAUGAGAUCUUUAAAAUCCAGACACUUCCUAGUUACCAGGUUCUUCUACGUACAGUUCUCCAGCACAUAACUGCUACCACUACUGCAUGAGCAAUGUGAGUUUCUUUGCUGCACACAGAUGUAAGGGAGUUACACCUAUUCUACAUGUCAUAAUUAGGCAACAUUGAGCUUCUCUGGCCUGUGUGACCAUUAAGCAAAACACAUGCCUCGUUAUGGCAACCGAACCAGAGCCCUAUACUCUGUUGAAAGCAGUUCUGUUUGGGUAACCAAAAUGAAUUUUUUGUUUCGUCUGAAGAUGUCUAGGCUGUGCUUAAUGGCCUCAUAAAUGCUUUGGGCAAUGAAAAAUAAAGAAGUAUUCGAAGGGAAAAUUCCCUUAUAUGGUCCAAAAACAUAAACCAAAGCUCUGUAUAUGAAUAAUUGUAAACCUCACCGAAGAUAAGUUUAAUAUUUUAUAUCCGACUCAUAAUUCCUUGUAAGAACCUAAACUGAAAUCACCAAAAUACUAAAACAUUUCAAAUGCAACUCUAAUAAACGAUGUGGCUUGCAGUUAUUUCUGCUGUUUCUUUAAACGAAUGCUUACUAAAAGCUGCAGAAAGGAUAGGCUCCCAAGAGAAUCCUAGCCAGGUGAGAUGCUUUAAAAAAUACGCAAGUGACAAUGUCUUUCUUAACAGCUUGCGGUCUAACGUGAGAGACGUGAGAGUAGUUAGUGAACACCACCAAGAGAGGAGGAGGCAGGCAAAAUAAAAGAUACUUUAAAGUCAUGGCAUUUCAGAGGGUGCUUGUAAUUCUUAGCGUGCACAUUUUGAAAAUUUUUUUUAGCAGAGGUGAGGUUUCUUAUUGUAUGCCAUAUGGCUACCUUACCUUCUUAAAUCAAGUUCUUCAUCAUAGCAAUUUUUCAAAACAGAUAUUAUUGAGAGAAGAAAAAAAAACACACAAAGUACCUUCUGA